AGAAUCAACGCUGGCGGCGUGCCUAACACAUGCAAGUCGAACGAGAAAGUGGAGCAAUCCAUGAGUAAAGUGGCGACCGGGUGAGUAACACGUGACUAACCUACCUUCGAGUGGGGAAUAACCUCGGGAAACCGGGGCUAAUACCGCAUAAUGUCUUCGGACCAAAGGAGCAAUUCGCUGGAAGAGGGGGUCGCGGCCGAUUAGCUAGUUGGCGGGGUAACGGCCCACCAAGGCAAUGAUCGGUAGCCGGCCUGAGAGGGCGCACGGCCACACUGGAACUGAAACACGGUCCAGACUCCUACGGGAGGCAGCAGUGGGGAAUUUUGCGCAAUGGGGGAAACCCUGACGCAGCAACGCCGCGUGGAGGAUGAAGCCCCUUGGGGUGUAAACUCCUUUCGAUCGGGACGAUAAUGACGGUACCGGAUGAAGAAGCACCGGCUAACUCUGUGCCAGCAGCCGC
rnacentral:rRNA from 1 species